rnacentral:rRNA from 1 species
AGUGAACGCUGGCGGUAGGCCUAACACAUGCAAGUCGAACGGCAGCACAGUAAGAGCUUGCUCUUACGGGUGGCGAGUGGCGGACGGGUGAGGAAUACAUCGGAAUCUACUUUUUCGUGGGGAUAACGUAGGGAAACUUACGCUAAUACCGCAUACGACCUACGGGUGAAAGCAGGGGAUCUUCGGACCUUGCGCGAUUGAGUGAGCCGAUGUCGGAUUAGCUAGUUGGCGGGGUAAAGGCCCACCAAGGCGACGAUCCGUAGCUGGUCUGAGAGGAUGAUCAGCCACACUGGAACUGAGACACGGUCCAGACUCCUACGGGAGGCAGCAGUGGGGAAUAUUGGACAAUGGGCGCAAGCCUGAUCCAGCCAUACCGCGUGGGUGAAGAAGGCCUUCGGGUUGUAAAGCCCUUUUGUUGGGAAAGAAAAGCAGCAGGUUAAUACCCCGCUGUUCUGACGGUACCCAAAGAAUAAGCACCGGCUAACUUCGUG